GACAUGAUAGCAUAAUUGGUUAAUGUGUCUGCUCAACUUAUUCCAGGGAAGAUGAUUUAGCAGGAGAUCCCUGUUCAAUCCGGGGUUAGGUCA